CAUCACAAAGGUACGUGUUAAAGCAGUGAUAAAAAAACAUGUAACAUUAAUAAUAACAACAUGCGUAAGUACAUGAUUCGAUUUGAAAUUCAAAAGCGAUGUUAAAUAUCUGCGGAAAAAACAGAUAUAAUGCAACAUUAUUAGUCAAUUUAUAGAUUUGUUUGAUCCUCAUUUCCGUGAAAUCGCAAGUAACAGAUUGUGGGUUAUUACGUAAAAAGGUGAGCAAUUACUGGAAAUAAAAAUUUAACAAUAAUUAAAUUUGCUGUAUACAGGGUGUCUCAGAAAUAAGUACAUUAAUUUUAACCGGUAACAGAACUCGUGAAACGGAACAACUUUUUUAUCUAGCAUUUUUUCGAAAACUCAAGUCGAAUUUCGAAUUUUCCCACCCAUAUAUUCACGAGCCGUCUAUGUUCACCUUAAAUAAUAACUUAAAUAAUAACAACACUACAACAAUGAAGAAGGUACCCUAGCGAUCGUUUUGACACUGACAAUCAUUUUUAUGUCAAUGUUUUUACUAAACGUUGUCUCUUUAAAAUUUGUUUGGCACAGAUUUCUAAUUUAUAAACGAAAUGUGUUGAAAUGGCUUUGUUUUCAAAUGUGGAAUGCACCGAUAUCGUUUUAACGUACGGUGAAGCUCGGGGAAACGGCACUCGCGCCCAACGAAUUUUUUCAGAAAACCUCCCAAAUCGUCGUCUGCCAAAUGUGCGCAGUUUUAAGAACGUUGCAGCAUUUUCGAGAGUACGGAUCUUUUAAACCUGCACCUUAGGAUCGGGAGUGUCAAAGCUCGACCAGGCACUAGCACGUAUCACUGUCUAGUGUGAUGUAUCGGAGAGUAGUAUUUGGAGGAUACUCAGAGAACAAAUGUACCCCUUUCAGGACCAGAAAGUUCAGUUAUUGAAACUAUCAGACUUACCACGUAGGCAAAACUUUUGUGAGUGGGUUAAUAGAAAAAUAAACGAACAAGCAAA